rnacentral:rRNA from 1 species
CCUACGGGUGGCAGCAGUCGAGAAUCUUCCGCAAUGGGGGCAACCCUGACGGAGCGACGCCGCGUGUAGGAUGAAGGUCUUCGGAUUGUAAACUACUGUCAGCAGGGAAGAACAGAUGCUCGAUUAAUACUCAGGCAUUUUGACGGUACCUGCAGAGGAAGCCACGGCUAACUUCGUGCCAGCAGCCGCGGUAAUACGAAGGUGGCUAGCGUUGUUCGGAUUUAUUGGGCGUAAAGGGUCCGCAGGCGGUUUGGAAAGUCAGAUGUGAAAUCCCA